AAGCAAUGCAUUAACGGGCUUCUCUGCCCUUCCGAACUCCCCACGCCCGUGCAGCAAGAAAGACUGGAAUUAGACAGUGAGAGGGAAUCCUCUCCGGCAUCCCCGCCCAAUCCCUGCCAGUUCCGACCAAUCCCCCUCAGCCCUCACCAGUGGAGCAGCCUCCUGGCGCUGCUUGCCAUAGGGCACCUUGAUAGGGGGCAGCUUGGUGACUGCUGCUACUAUGAAAUUCAUCAGGACGUCCACACAGUGUCCACCAGGCCCUCCUUGGAAGAAGCCACAAGUAAGCAUCAGGACACCCUUCACCUCAUGAAAAGCCACAGCAGAAGCCAACCAGGCUGUCUGGCCCAGGCAGCUGCCCGGCACUUCGGAGAAACUGAGGCUCAAACCACUCCAGAGAUGACAAGUCCUGUCACCUUCAGGGAGGCGGAGGCCAAAGACAAAACUUGAAGGUCAGAGUCCAAGGCUGCCAAGCUUCGCCCCUGGGAAAUAAAACUUAUCAAAAAUGCUACUCAGAGGGUGACCCACGCUAAUUAGAAAACCGUGGCCGGCUCUGGCCAAUUUCAGAUCCAUUAGUAAACAUUUAAUGAGCACCUACCUGCUGUGUGCAGCUCCC
rnacentral:lncRNA from 10 species